CCUACGGGUGGCAGCAGUGAGGAAUAUUGGUCAAUGGGAGAGAUCCUGAACCAGCCAAGCCGCGUGAGGGAAGACGGCCCUAUGGGUUGUAAACCUCUUUUGUCGGAGAACAAAACCAGGGACGUGUCCCGGACUGCGUGUAACCGAAAAAAAAGCAUCGGCAAACUCCGGGCCAGCAGCCGCGGGAAUACCGGGGAUGCGAGCGGUAUCCGGAUUUAUUGGGUUUAAAGGGUGCGUAGGGGGGCCUUUAAGUCAGCGGUAAAAUUGCGGGGCUCAACCCCGUCGGGCCGUUGAAACUGGGGGACUUGAGUGGGCGAGAAGAAGGCGGAAUGCGUGGUGUAGCGGUGAAAUGCAUAGAUAGCACGCAGAACCCCGAUUGCGAAGGCAGCGUACCGGCGCCAGACUGACGCUGAGGCACGAAAGCGUGGGGAUCGAACAGGAUUAGAUACCCUGGUAGUC
rnacentral:rRNA from 1 species